rnacentral:rRNA from 1 species
UACAGAGGUCUCAAGCGUUGUUCGGAUUCAUUGGGCGUUAAGGGUGUGUAGGUGGCGCCGUAAGUCGGGUGUGAAAUUUCGGAGCUUAACUCCGAAACUGCAUUCGAUACUGCGGUGCUUGAGGACUGGAGAGGAGACUGGAAUUCAUGGUGUAGCAGUGAAAUGCGUAGAGAUCAUGAGGAAGACCAGUGGCGAAGGCGGGUCUCUGGACAGUUCCUGACACUGAGACACGAAGGCCAGGGGAGCAAACGGG